rnacentral:rRNA from 1 species
CCCUUAGAUGUUCUGGGCCGCACGCGCGCUACAAUGGCAAACUCAGCGAGUCUCCUUUACCGACAGGUAUAGGAAAUCUUUUCAGUGUUUGCCGUGAUGGGGCUAGACCCUUGUAAUUAUUGGUCUCCAACGAGGAAUUCCUAGUAAACGCAGGUCAUUAACCUGCAUUGAUUACGUCCCUGCCCUUUGUACACACCGCCCGUCGCACCUACCGAUUGAAUGGUCCGGUGAAGUCUCCGGACUGAGUACUUUUAGUACUUGGGAAGUUGACUAAACCUUACUAUUUAGAGGAAGGUGAAGGCGUAACA